rnacentral:piRNA from 1 species
UGACUUACCCGUUGCAAAGGAAGCCAGA